rnacentral:pre_miRNA from 1 species
GGUGGGUGAUGCCGGGGUGAAGCCUUCGUGGACUUCACCGGGUAUUCACUCAUCCA